rnacentral:lncRNA from 1 species
GGUUAGAUAUUUGAAGGCUACACAGAAGUUCUAGAAGGAACUAAAAGGAAUGGAAGGAUGUGAUAUAAUCAAAUAUGUCUUGUGUUUGCUUAAACUUGGUCUCUUUAAUGCACAAUAUAGAGAAACCGAUUAUGAUUUAAAUGUGAAUUCCAUCAUUGUUUUUGGAUAGGAUGUUUGUUAUUAAUAGAAGAAUAAUCUCAGAAAAUUAUUUAAAUCUUUAAACCAAUUUCAUUUUUAGUAUAUAUUUUUUCAGGUCAUUGAAUAAAAUAGGAAAUUAUCAAAUUAGUUGACACUUGUAAAAGCUUCUUCUAAAUGAAGCAAACAUGCUACACAAAUAUAAUUAAAUUUUUUUCCUUAUAAAUUACUUUUGCGCUAUCAAUCAGUGCUCUCUAAUACUACUAUUGACAUAUUUUUUAUUUCCUUUACUUAAAAAUAAAAAUUUAACAUGAUUAUUUAUAAAAAGAUCUUGGUUUCUAUUGAAAUUUGCUAUUAGGCUAGAUGGGGAGAAAUUACUUGCAAUGAAGAGAAGAGGAAGAAAGGUAAGAAUUCUAGCAAAAAGGAAUAAAUGGCCCAAUAGGCCAAAUAGACAGGGACCAUGUGAAAAGUAGAACUAGCAUAGGUCUCAGGAAACAUGUUAUAGCCAGAUGAGUCAAUGGUAAGUGAAGCUCAUAAUGGGGUGUGCACUAAGGUUUAAAACCAUGUGAGAGACAGAAAAAGAGAUGGAGAGAGAGAAGCAACCUAGAAGGGACACAAAAGGUAAACCACUAGAAAAUCUUAUUAACCAAUUAUUAUAAGAUUAAAUGAGGUAAAGAAAAAUGACUUGGGAUUCAAGUGGUUUCCAACAAUUACUAUAUGGAAUAGUGUAUGGUGUAAUAUAAAUUAUCUAGCCUAAUUCCCAGAUACUAAAGGUCUUUGAUGUAUCACCUUUUAGUAAAGGGCUUAUAUUUCCUAGUCUGCUCCAUCUAAGCAUCAUAAAUUCAACUUUUGUGUCACCUGGAUUCCCCCAUUCUAGGUUUAACAAUGUCUGAAAAGGGACUUUUUCCUUCAGACUUUACAGUCAAAGUAAAGUUUCAUAAGAGUGGCUAAAACCAUAACUCUGGAAGGAAUCAUAAGCAGUUUACUAAACAGUUAAGAAACAAUGAGCUAGGGUUCAUUAGAACAACAAUUCAUCAUUUGCACUAUAAUAAACAUCCUAGAAAAACUUUUGGCAGUUGUUUGGCAAAGAAAGCUGCAUGUAGGUUUUGAGCACACUAAGGGUAGGGACAGUAUGAAGUGAAAGAUAAAUUUCAGUUGUGUAGCAAACUGUGCAGACUCACAUACAUAAUCCAUAUGUUUAGACAUAUAUGUGUGUAUAUAUAUGUAUAUGUAUACAUAAUCAUAAACUUAAAAUAUAUACAGUUAAAUUCAGGUAUUAAUUUUAAUCUCUUUUCAAGAUAGGAUAACAAAAUUAUCUCUAUCAUCAUUCUGUUUAAGUCACUUUUUUAUCACCUUGGUUUUGCAUUAUUCAUGAAUCUGCUUCAAUGAUCCAUAUGGUUCCAGUUUGUAUUCCAAUCAUCACUUCCUUAUUACCUCAGGUUUUAUACAUAAUUUUUAGUGUCUCUGCUAUAAUUUUGCUCAUGUUCACAUUUGUACUUGAUGAAUUAAAUAUCUGUAACAUUAGCUACUGUUAUUCUUAGAUUUCUAUUACCCAGAUAUAGGCAAUAUUUGUAUUCAAAAAAGUACAUAUUCUUCAAAAAUGUUCACUACAAUGUCAACUAUAUAUUUCACAGAAAAGACUGUCCCCUUACCUCUGUAAACCACUCUGUGCUUUCUUUGAAAUAAUAGGGAUGGAUCUAUAGAUUAUGGUGUUGUUUGGCAAAUAAAGAACAACUGAGUACAAUUUGGAAAAAUAAAAAAUAAAACAAUUAUUCUCCACUGCGAAGUUGUCAUUACUUCUUUAUUAUUUGCUGUUUUGCACUGUAACACCUCCUCACAUUUUACUAAAGAAGACAGCUUUACAGAAAAGUUAUGAAAAUGGACUACUUGGAAUCAGUAAGCUAUUGUAGCUCUGCCACUUACUGCCUGUGUGACUCUAGGUAGAUUAUCAAAUUAUGAAGUCUCAUUAAACUCAUGUAUAAAAGGAAAUAAUAAAUUCCCAUUACCAAAUAAUUUGUGACAGAAAUUUUAUGAAAAACCAUAUGUAACACUCUUGGUGCUGGGGUUGGUAUAUCAUAAGUCCUCAAGAAAUUACAGCAUUUGUGUUUUGUUGUUGUCAGUGUUAGAUAAUUUCCAUUCAUUAUGUUACAACUAAAUAAACAAGGAAAGUUACUAGAUUUACAAAGUUAGUGAAGGUAUAUCAUAUAGCCACUUCUCUAUAACAAAGCACACAUUUGAAGUAAAGUAAGGUCCCUAUUGACAUACAUGUAUAUAAAAUCUGAAAUGAACCCUAAUAAAGCAAUUAUAACAAAAGAAUAUCAAUAAUAAACCAGAAGUACCUAGAGGGAUACUAAUCACAAAGGAUAUGAUAAGUGUCUUAGAGAAAACUUUGGUCUCUAUUUAGGAUGACAGAAGAUACAUUUUAGCCAUGUCAAGGCAAGAAUAAUUUGAGUGAUUAUGCUGUAGCUUACAGAGGUCAGCCACACAACCUACAUGAGCUGUGGGUUACUGAUUUUAGGCAUUCUUUGGGAAUUUAUAGAAAGAAAGAAAACUUAUCAACCUGUUACAGUUACUUUCCAGAAAAAAAGUGAAAGGAUCCACCACAAAAUAGGCGCUGGUGUGCUUCUAUAGGCAGAAACCAAAAAAUUGGUGAUUCCUGCCCAGUGCCCUGUAGUUACACCAAAUUAAUGUUAGUAUAGAUUUUCUUUCAUUAUUAGAAUAGUUCACGCUAACUAUACAACAGAGCCUUUUAUUCUGCAAUAGACUCCUACACCUUGAAAGAUUUCAAGAUGUGCAAAUAAAUGUAUUUUCAUAAAUGAAACUUUUGCAAUCAGAAAUACGUCCAUUGUUUUUUCUACUUUUUCACUAAAUUUCCAAAUCUAAAAUGAAGUCAUUAAAAAACUUUCUAAAUAACAGCUGUUAAAAUUGAUGAGGUAGAAAAAAUAAAGUUUUAAAAGUGACAAUUUCUUAUAAUUUUGUUAUGAUAUUAUAUAAGUAAUUUAAAGUGAAAGAAUGUUAUGUCAUUUCACAUGGUGACAGGGGGAAAUGUGUAUUUACACACAAACACACAACUGUGUAUAAUAUAAAUACCUAUACUAUACCUAUAGUAUACCCAUAGUGUGUAUGUGCAUAUGUGUAUGAGGAAUUAUGUCUGUGUGUAUUUGAAGUAUUAAAAAAAUCUAAGAAUUGUAAUUAUGAUACUCAGGGAAUUUUAAAGUCCUAAAGUUUAGAUAAAGUUGAGACGGGUGCAUAAAGAAGUAAGAUUAUUAACUACUUUUUCUUUCACUGUGACUUCAAUCCACUGUCUGAGAUUAGGAUAAACUUUUGGAUGCAAAGACAUAAGUACACACCAAGUAAAUACAUUAUGGAUAUACUUUCUUUCCAUAAAGUAUGUUUCAUAAACUCUUAGGAUAGACAAAUUGAAAACUGUUUUUUUUCCAACUUAGGUUUGGUCGAGAUGUUCCUUAAAACUCUUAGGAUAAGACAAAUUGAAAAUUAUUGAUUACCACUUAGGUUUCAGAAAUGCUGCAACACUGUUAUCUAGUUUAAUCAAUUUGUUAAUUUGUUUUAAACAUUUUUAAAGAAUGAUAUUACAUUACAGCAUUUGUGCUAGGCCAAAUCUAGAUAUAGAGAUAUAUAACCCAAAACACUUUGAUUAAAUAGAUUUUAGUCUUCUAAGAAACCCAAAAGUAAAUUUUGUCACCAUAAGCUGUGAUAAAUGGCACAAUAAAAGCACGCAGAUACAGAAGGGAGUCAGAGAAAUCGCUCCUUCCUCAGACUAGGCAUCAGGGAAAGCUUACAAGCUGAGCUGAAGAAUGAGUAGGAGUAAGUGUUGGGGAGAAAUGGGGAAGGGCUCUCCAAACAGAGGAAAAAAACAAAUGGGAUGUUAGAGAAAGCAUUAGACAUUUGGGAAACAACAAACAAUUCAAAAUGGCAGAAAGACUGCAGCAGUGAUAAUGAAUGAGCUACAGCUACUUUUUAAAAAUGAAUCUUAGAAACAUCAUGUGCAAAAAUGGCAAGUUACAGACUAUUUGCAGUAUAGAGAUCCUGUUUUAGCAAUGCCUUUGUGAAGACUGUUUACAGCAAUGUUAUAAAGAUCAAAAACAUGCAAAAUCAACUAAUGUAUGAUUUAGCCAUAUAAGUGUAUAUGAUAAAAAUUUUCCUUAAAACCUAUAGGAAUGAUAAACAUUAAAAUCAAGUAAGAGUUACUUCUAGGGUGAGAAACAAGACAAUGAGGCAUGAAAGGAGAACAAAGGUAAAUACAGCGUUGGUAAACUAGUUUGGUUUAAGUUAUGAGGAUGGAUGGGGUCAUGGUUAUUGCUUUGUUUCUUAACUCACUUGUACAUAUUCUUUUGUGUGUAUGAAAUAUUAUAUGGAGAAGAAAUGUAUUUCUUCCUUUUAUUCACUCAAACCACCCAUUUCCCUUCCAUGUAGCUUGUUAAAUAAACUCCAGACCACCCAUGUAAUGGGAUAUAAUGCAGCUACUGAAAGAGAAUAAAGUACCUCUAUAUGUUCUGAAAUGGAAAAAAAAAAAAAAAAACAAAAUGGCAGAAAGAGUGCAUGUGGGCAUAUGGAAAUAGGAGGCAUGUUCUUGCAUAUUUAAUGAGCUUCACAUCCUAGGAUGAGUAAUAACACAGUUCUCUACACAUUAGGAAACAUUUUAUGUGAGGAAGCCUAAAUCAGUGUGGACUCCAGAAUCAAACUGGUGUGUUUGAAAUCUCGGCUCUACCAUUUAGUAGCUUAAAGGUAUUGACCAAAAUUUUAAACUCAUUGUGUCCUACAUAAUCACCUAUAAAAUGAGGAUAAAAAUAGCACCUAAAUCAUGAUAUGUUUAAGAUACAAAAACUUAGUACUAGUGAACCAUUUCAAGGAUUUUCUGCCAUAAUAAAUUGCUUGUUAUUUUUAUAAAGAAAACAAAAUUGAGGGGGCUUGUUUAAUCCAAUAUGACAUGAGAAGCAGUUUCACAGGGUCAGAAUAGUUAGUGAGGCCUUCUUACAUAUUUGUAAGGGAAUUAAGGAGGACUCUUCCCAGAGGGAGAAUACUGAAAAAAUCAAUUGGGUAUUUACUCUUUGGUGGAAAUGAGUGCAUAAUAUUAAUGUCUUUAGAAAGGAAAAGAGGAGUUUCCUUUGUGGCACAGAGGAAAUGAGUCCAACUAGGAUCCAUGAGGAUGCAGGUUCAAUCCUUGACCUUGCUCAGUGAGUUAAGGAUCUGGCAUUGCCAUGAGCUAUGGUGUAGGUCACAGACAAGGCUUGGAUCUGGCAUUUCUGUGGCUGUGG